AUUGAACGCUGGCGGCAUGCCUUACACAUGCAAGUCGAACGGUAACAGGUUAAGCUGACGAGUGGCGAACGGGUGAGUAAUGUAUCGGAACGUGCCCAGUCGUGGGGGAUAACUGCUCGAAAGAGCAGCUAAUACCGCAUACGACCUGAGGGUGAAAGCAGGGGAUCGCAAGACCUCGCGCGAUUGGAGCGGCCGAUAUCAGAUUAGGUAGUUGGUGAGGUAAAGGCUCACCAAGCCGACGAUCUGUAGCUGGUCUGAGAGGACGACCAGCCACACUGGGACUGAGACACGGCCCAGACUCCUACGGGAGGCAGCAGUGGGGAAUUUUGGACAAUGGGCGCAAGCCUGAUCCAGCCAUGCCGCGUGCGGGAAGAAGGCCUUCGGGUUGUAAACCGCUUUUGUCAGGGAAGAAAAGGUUCUGGCUAAUACCUGGGACUCAUGACGGUACCUGAAGAAUAAGCACCGGCUAACUACGUG
rnacentral:rRNA from 1 species